AGUGAACGCUGGCGGCGUGCUUAACACAUGCAAGUCGAACGAGAACGGGAUAUAGCUUGCUAUAUUUGUCAGCUAAGUGGCGCACGGGUGAGUAAUGUAUAGAUAACCUGCCCUCUAGAAAGGAAUAACAGUUGGAAACGACUGCUAAUGCCCUAUAUGCCUUUAAUACAUAAGUAUGCAAGGGAAACGCUUUAGUGCUAGAGGAUGGGUCUGUAUGGUAUCAGCUUGUUGGUGAGGUAAUGGCUCACCAAGGCUAUGACGCCUAACUGGUUUGAGAGGGUGAUCAGUCACACUGGACCUGAGACACGGUCCAGACUCCUACGGAAGGCAGCAGUGGGGAAUAUUGCACAAUGGACGAAAGUCUGAUGCAGCAACGCCGCGUGGAGGAUGACACAUUUCGGUGCGCAAACUCCUUUUAUAUAGGAAGAUAAUGACGGUACUAUAUGAAUAAGCACCGGCUAACUCCGUGCCAGCAGCCGCCGUAA
rnacentral:rRNA from 1 species